rnacentral:rRNA from 1 species
UCCGGGUGCGCGGAAUUCAGGACCGACGCGCGAAGCCUCGCGUUUCGCCGUCGAUUCGAUAUUUCCGCCGCCGACCCUAGCGGGUGCGGACGUCGCGACCCGUUUGUCGUCGGUCUGGCGAGUCGCGUUUCAAGUUCGCCGCGCUUCAUUUUCCGUCUCUCGGGGCGGAACGGUGUUUGCGCGGUGAUGGCGUGUUUUCUCGGGCCGGCAGCAGACGGUAGCUGUAACGCGCGGGUAAUCGACGCAGCCGAUCGGGUGGCGCGUUUUUCCGCGUCUUCAAAAGCGCGGAGAGCGCGUCGUUCGGGCGCUGUCGUCGACGCCGGUCAGCGACGAAUCUUCGGGCCUCUUUCCGACCCGUCUUGAAACACGGACCAAGGAGUCUAACGUGCGCGCGAGUCGCGGGGUAUUCGAGUCGUAACGAGGCUCGUAAUGCAAACGAAACCCGUGUACGUACGUUGUGCGAAGGCGUAAUGAAAGUGAGGUGGCUUCGCGCCACCGGGGAAGAUGGUGUCGCCGAGUACACGUUUUUUCUCGGUCACACGGUACCGAGACCGGCCACCCGCAUUCCCAGGGCGUCCCGCCUGUCCGACGGCGGUGCGGACGAUUUCGGUCGUCGGCCGUCCUCGAACUGGGGCGCACCUUUAGCGUGCACGUUGGUACCCGAAAGAUGGUGAACUAUGCCCGGCCAGGAUGAAGUCAGGGGAAACCCUGAUGGAGGUCCGCAGCGAUUCUGACGUGCAAAUCGAUCGUCUGAGCUGGGUAUAGGGGCGAAAGACU